AUACGGAGGAUCCGAGCGUUAUCCGGAUUUAUUGGGUUUAAAGGGUGCGCAGGCGGCCAUUUAAGUCAGCGGUUAAAUCGUGGGGCUCAACCCCAUUCUGCCGUUGAUACUGGGUGGCUUGAUUGCGGUCGAGGCUGGCGGAAUUCGUUGUGUUGUGGUGAAAUGCAUAGAUAUGACGAAGAACACCGAUUGCGUAGGCAGCUGACCAGACCGCAAAUGACGCUCAUGCACGAAAGUGCGGGGAUCGAACAGGAUUAGAUACCCUGGUAGUCCGCACAGUAAACGAUGAAUACUUGUUUUCGGCGAUAUAAUGUCGGAGGCAAAGCGAAAGCGAUAAGUAUUCCACCUGGGGAGUACGCCGGCAACGGUGAAACUCAAAGGAAUUGACGGGG
rnacentral:rRNA from 1 species